GUAAAAAUGGCUGCCAACAGCCCUCGGCCCGUAUCCCCUGCUUAGUAACACUGUUGGAAUGAGCCAGUCUUCCCUUCAAGUGCUCAUGGAGAAUUCUGGGGGAGGACACUGAUUGGUCCAGCUUGGGUCACAAGGGUAUCUUUCCACCAAUGACUUUCACCAGGAUGGGAUUCUCUGAUUGGUUCAGCUUGUGUCACAUGACAUCUUGUAGUAGGGAUUGAAGAGAGACCAGCUUCAUCUCCACUCGACCAACAUGAUGCAGGUUUUCUACUGGAAUGCCGAGUUAUUUCAGGACAAGGGGGAAGAGCUACAGGCCAGUCAACAACACCAGCUGCCCAUCCCAGCAGGAUCACUCUAAGGCAUCCCCUUUACCAUGCAUCACUUGGGGCUGGGCUGAAGAGGUGAUUCCAGCUCCAGUGAAUAAGUACAAGCUAAGAACAAGUGACAGCACUGAACAGAAAGCAAGCCAAAAAGGGUCUUUAGCUGCUUUGCUCAGAACUGGAAUCCUUGUGCAUUUGCUGUCUGGAGAACUGAGUAACGAAAAUGCUGGGGCUGGGCCCAAGCCUGAUAUUCAAGCAGACCUUGAUAAAGCGCUCUGAGAAAUUGCCUUGCUUCAGGCUGGGUCCCUGCCAUGUGACAAUGGACACAGCGCUGAAGAACCAACUAUGAACAAGACAAAAGAUUGCUGCCCUCAUGGAACUUUCUGUCCAGAUGGAGAGACAGACAAUUAAACAGCUGACAACUGAAGACAGCCCAAGUGUUCAUCAACGAAAGAAU
rnacentral:lncRNA from 1 species